UGCAGGCCCUGAGCAUCCUGCUGGCU
rnacentral:piRNA from 1 species